AGAGUUUGAUCCUGGCUCAGAUUGAACGCUGGCGGCAUGCCUUACACAUGCAAGUCGAACGGCAGCACGGGGGUAACCCUGGUGGCGAGUGGCGAACGGGUGAGUAAUACAUCGGAACGUGUCCUGUAGUGGGGGAUAGCCCGGCGAAAGCCGGAUUAAUACCGCAUACGAUCUACGGAAGAAAGCGGGGGAUCCUUCGGGACCUCCCCGCUAUAGGGGCGGCCGAUGGCAGAUUAGCUAGUUGGUGGGGUAAAGGCCUACCAAGGCGACGAUCUGUAGCUGGUCUGAGAGGACGACCAGCCACACUGGGACUGAGACACGGCCCAGACUCCUACGGGAGGCAGCAGUGGGGAAUUUUGGACAAUGGGGGAAACCCUGAUCCAGCAAUGCCGCGUGUGUGAAGAAGGCCUUCGGGUUGUAAAGCACUUUUGUCCGGAAA
rnacentral:rRNA from 1 species